UGCUCCUUGUUGUUCCAUAUAAGGAGUCGGACCUGCUCGGUGAAUAUAUUUUAACAGCCGCGGUACUCUGACCGUGCAAAGGUAGCAUAAUCAUUUGCCUUAUAAUUGAAGGCUAGUAUGAAUGGUUUGACGAGAAUUAAGCUGUCUCUUUUUAACUAAAUAUAACUUUAUUGAUAGGUGAAGAAGCCUAUGUUUAAUUGAAAGACAAGAAGACCCUAUCGAGCUUUAAGAAAUUUAAUAGACUUACCAUAUAUUUAUAAAAAAGUAAGGCUGUUAAGAACUUUGGUUGGGGCGACUGAGGAACAAAUAAAGCUUCCUUUAGAUUAAAAGACUUACAAGUAUUGAUCCAACAAAUUUGAUUAAAGGAAUUAGUUACCGUAGGGAUAACAGCAUAAUCCCUUUUGAGAGUUCUCAUCGAAAAGGGGGUUUGUGACCUCGAUGUUGGACCAGAAUACCCAGAAGAUGCAGCCGUCUUCAAUGGUUGGUCUGUUCGACCAUUAAAAUUCUACGUGAUCUGAGUUCAGACCGGCGUGAGCCAGGUCAGUUUCUAUCUUCAAUUUCUAUAGUGGCCUUAGUACGAAAGGACCAGGUUAUUACAAGACCAUUUGUAACAUUCUGAUUAAAUAUAAAGUUUAAUUAAAUCUAUAAAUAUCAAAUUAGCAAAGAUAAUGCAAUUGACUUAGGAUCAAUAGACAUAGGUGAAACCCCUUUAUUUGAUAUAAAUAAAGAUGGCAGAGAAA
rnacentral:rRNA from 1 species